AGAAAUUUAGGUUAACUAUAAAACCUAGAGCCUUCAAAGCCCUCAAUAGAAGUUAAAAUCCUUCUAAUUUCUG
rnacentral:tRNA from 1 species